UACGGAGGGUGCAAGCAUUAAUCGGAUUUAUUGGGCGUAAAGGGCGCGUAGGCUGGUUUGUAAGUCAGAUGUGAAAUCCCGGGGCUCAACCUCGGAACAGCAUUUGAAACUGCAUACCUAGAGGGUAGGCGGAGAAAACGGAAUUCCACAAGUAGCGGUGAAAUGCGUAGAUAUGUGGAAGAACACCGGUGGCGAAGGCGGUUUUCUAGCUUACUCCUGACGCUGAGGCGCGAAAGCAAGGGGAUCAAACAGG
rnacentral:rRNA from 1 species